rnacentral:rRNA from 1 species
UGCAGUCGAACGGAAAGGCCCUGCUUUUGUGGGGUGCUCGAGUGGCGAACGGGUGAGUAACACGUGAGUAACCUGCCCUUGACUUUGGGAUAACUUCAGGAAACUGGGGCUAAUACCGGAUAGGAGCUCCUGCUGCAUGGUGGGGGUUGGAAAGUUUCGGCGGUUGGGGAUGGACUCGCGGCUUAUCAGCUUGUUGGUGGGGUAGUGGCUUACCAAGGCUUUGACGGGUAGCCGGCCUGAGAGGGUGACCGGCCACAUUGGGACUGAGAUACGGCCCAGACUCCUACGGGAGGCAGCAGUGGGGAAUAUUGCACAAUGGGCGGAAGCCUGAUGCAGCAACGCCGCGUGCGGGAUGACGGCCUUCGGGUUGUAAACCGCUUUCGCCUGUGACGAAGCGUGAGUGACGGUAAUGGGUAAAGAAGCACCGGCUAACUACGUGCCAGCAGCCGCGGUGAUACGUAGGGUGCGAGCGUUGUCCGGAUUUAUUGGGCGUAAAGGGCUCGUAGUGGUUGAUCGCGUCGGAAGUGUAAUCUUGGGGCUUAA